GCUUUAAAUUUUCUAUUUUUAAACUAAAUUUACUUUUAAGUAAAUAAGCUCUAAAUUUAAUAAAUAAAAAUAAAAUUUUCAACUCGCAAUCCUCAGGAUUUUUAGGAGAAAAUUAAAUAAAUUUGACCUGUAAUUUUAUUAAGAUCAGUAAAAAUAGAAUAAAUUAAAGC
rnacentral:rRNA from 2 species